CUCUGCCUAGACUCACUCACUACCUUGGCUUCCAGCCUCUAAUCCCAGUGCCCAUGACCUCCCUAGAGGGCCUUUCUCUCAGAUCAUCAAAUCCUGGCCUAUUGUGACACCUCAGUGCCAACAUUAGCACUGACUUUAACACAUACAUUGGCAGACCCAAAGUCCAGUUACCUUGCAGUUCUGUUGGGCAGAGGUUACUCACAGCUGUCAUAUUUGGGAGCCCCAAGAAACUGUUGGAACGCUAGCUGUGGGGAGAACACUGGACCUAGGCAAUCACUGUGAAUUUGAAGCUGAGGUGCCUCCUAAAUUGCUCUACCACCUGAGGAUGACAUCUUGACUUUGUUUCCUGACUCAUAAAACAAGAAUAACGCCAUUGCUUCAAG
rnacentral:lncRNA from 1 species